rnacentral:rRNA from 1 species
UCUUUUUGUUUAAAAUUUAAAGUCUAGCCUGCCCGAUGAUAAAUUUGAAUGGCCGCGGUAUUUUGACCGUGCUAAGGUAGCAUAAUCAUUAGUUUUUUAAUUAAAAGCUGGAAUGAAGGGUUGGAUGAAAAAAUAACUGUCUUUAUUAGAUUAAUUUAGAAAUUUAUUUUUAAGUUCAAAAGCUUAAAUUUAUUUAAAAGACGAGAAGACCCUAUAGAGUUUAAUAAAUUUAUUUAUUAUUAUAUUUAGAAUUUUUUAUUUUUAUAUUAUAAAUUUAUUUAAUUGGGGUGAUUGAAAAAUUAAGUAAACUUUUUUUGUUAUUUAAUAUAAAUUAAUAAAUUAUUGAUCUUAAAAUUUUGAUUAUAAGAUUAAAUUACCUUAGGGAUAACAGCGUAAUUUUAUUGGAGAGUUCAAAUUAAUAAUAAAGAUUGCGACCUCGAUGUUGGAUUAAAA